GCCUAACACAUGCAAGUCGAGCGGUAACAUUUCAAAAGCUUGCUUUUGAAGAUGACGAGCGGCGGACGGGUGAGUAAUGCCUGGGAAUUUGCCCAUUUGUGGGGGAUAACAGCUGGAAACGACUGCUAAUACCGCAUACGCCCUACGGGGGAAAGCAGGGGACCUUCGGGCCUUGCGCUGAUGGAUAAGCCCAGGUGGGAUUAGCUAGUAGGUGAGGUAAUGGCUCACCUAGGCGACGAUCCCUAGCUGGUCUGAGAGGAUGAUCAGCCACACUGGGACUGAGACACGGCCCAGACUCCUACGGGAGGCAGCAGUGGGGAAUAUUGCACAAUGGGGGAAACCCUGAUGCAGCCAUGCC
rnacentral:rRNA from 1 species